rnacentral:rRNA from 1 species
AUUCGCCCUUAGAGUUUGAUCCUGGCUCAGGACGAACGCUGGCGGCGUGCCUAACACAUGCAAGUCGAACGAAGCUCUGCGAUACAAGACUUCGGUCAAGUUGAACGGAUGACUUAGUGGCGGACGGGUGAGUAACGCGUGAGGAACCUGCCUUUCAGUGGGGGACAACAGUUGGAAACGACUGCUAAUACCGCAUAAUGUAUUCUGACCGCAUGAUCGGAAUACCAAAGAUUUAUUGCUGAAAGAUGGCCUCGCGUCUGAUUAGAUAGUUGGUGAGGUAACGGCCCACCAAGUCGACGAUCAGUAGCCGGACUGAGAGGUUGAACGGCCACAUUGGGACUGAGAUACGGCCCAGACUCCUACGGGAGGCAGCAGUGGGGAAUAUUGGGCAAUGGGGGAAACCCUGACCCAGCAACGCCGCGUGAAGGAAGAAGGCUUUCGGGUUGUAAACUUCUUUUACCAGGGACGAAGGACGUGACGGUACCUGGAGAAAAAGCCACGGCUAACUACGUGCCAGCAGCCGCGGUAAUACGUAGGUGGCAAGCGUUGUCCGGACUUACUGGGUGUGAAGGGCGUGUAGGCGGAGAAGCAAGUCAGAAGUGAAAUCCAUGGGCUUAACCCAUGAACUGCUUUUGAAACUGUUUCCCUUGAGUAUCGGAGAGGCAGGCGGAAUUCCUAGUGUAGCGGUGAAAUGCGUAGAUAUUAGGAGGAACACCAGUGGCGAAGGCGGCCUGCUGGACGACAACUGACGCUGAGGCGUGAAAGCGUGGGGAGCAAACAGGAUUAGAUACCCUGGUAGUCCACGCUGUAAACGAUGAAUACUAGGUGGUGGGAGGACUGACCCCUUCCGUGCCG